rnacentral:lncRNA from 1 species
AUGAUGAAGUUAAUCAAUUUGACAUCCCACGGAGGGCCGGGUGUGUCUGCGCCAGAAGAGCUGCUGCACAGCCUCUCCCCAGAGCCCGACUCCUGGGGAGCAGGGGGGUCUCUGCCUCUCCUGUCUCCAAAGGAGAACUGUGACUUUGGAGCUGUAAGAAGCAGAGCUAUAUGGAAACUCUGUUGCUCACACUGGAGUACAAUGGUGCUAUCUCAGCUCACUGCAAUCUCCGCCUCCUGGGUUCAAAUGAUUCUCCUGCCUCAGCCUCCCGAGUAG